AAAUGGGAAGACAAGAUCUUCAACUUUCAUGUUGGGCAAAAAUUCAUUUGAAGCUUGUAUCAUGAUGUAAGUUUGAGAUCAAGAAGUUUCCAUUUUUGGCAGUUGAAAUUACAGGUCCACUUGCUAUUUCUGGAAAUUUUCUGAUUGGCUUGAUUUUCUUCCAUGAUGAGGUUGAACAUGAUAGAUGAGGCUUAUACAAGCAUGAAUGAAC
rnacentral:lncRNA from 1 species